rnacentral:rRNA from 1 species
GACGGAGGCUGCAAGCGUUAUCCGGAAUGAUUGGGCGUAAAGCGUCUGCAGGCGGCUGUUCAAGUCUGCUGUCAAAGACCGGGGCUUAACUUCGGAAAGGCAGUGGAAACUGAACAGCUAGAGUAUGGUAGGGGCAGAGGGAAUUCCUGGUGUAGCGGUGAAAUGCGUAGAGAUCAGGAAGAACAUCGGUGGCGAAGGCGCUCUGCUGGACCAUAACUGACACUCAGGGACGAAAGCUAGGGGAGCGAAUGGG